GACGAACGCUGGCGGCGUGCUUAACACAUGCAAGUCGAACGGAAAGGCCCUGCUUUUGUGGGGUGCUCGAGUGGCGAACGGGUGAGUAACACGUGAGUAACCUGCCCUUGACUUUGGGAUAACUUCAGGAAACUGGGGCUAAUACCGGAUAGGAGCUCCUGCUGCAUGGUGGGGGUUGGAAAGUUUCGGCGGUUGGGGAUGGACUCGCGGCUUAUCAGCUUGUUGGUGGGGUAGUGGCUUACCAAGGCUUUGACGGGUAGCCGGCCUGAGAGGGUGACCGGCCACAUUGGGACUGAGAUACGGCCCAGACUCCUACGGGAGGCAGAAGUGGGGAAUAUUGCACAAUGGGCGGAAGCCUGAAGCAGCAACGCCGCGUGCGGGAUGACGGCCUUCGGGUUGUAAACCGCUUUCGCCUGUGACGAAGCGUGAGUGACGGUAAUGGGUAAAGAAGCACCGGCUAACUACGUG
rnacentral:rRNA from 1 species